rnacentral:sRNA from 1 species
UGGCACUGUGCUGGGCCCGGGCCCUGCCCUCUCGGCCAGGUGCCUCCCGCUCUGGGGGCCUGGAGGAAUCCCGGGACCGGCCCCGACCCCUUCCUACUGAGCCAGCUGUGCGGCCCAAGGAGCCUGGGACCAAGCGAAAGGGCUUGGGUGAGGGGGUCCCCUCAUCACAGCGGGGUCCCCGCCGCCUCUCAGCUGAAGGGGGAGAUAAAGCUCUACAUAAGAUGGGUCCAGGUGGGGGCAAAGCCAAGGCACUGGGUGGGGCUGGCAGUGGGAGCAAGGGCUCAGCAGGUGGCGGAAGCAAGCGACGGCUGAGCAGCGAAGACAGCUCCCUGGAGCCAGACCUGGCUGAGAUGAGCCUGGAUGACAGCAGCCUGGCCCUGGGCGCAGAGGCCAGCACCUUCGAGGGAUUCCCUGAGAGCCCUCCACCCUGUCCUCUCCACGGUGGCUCCCGAGGCCCUUCCACUUUCCUUCCUGAGCCCCCAGAUACUUAUGAAGAAGAUGGUGGUGUGUACUUCUCGGAAGGGCCUGAGCCUCCCACAGCCUCUGUUGGCCCCCCUGGCCUACUGCCUGGGGAUGUCUGUACCCAGGACGACCUCCCUUCUACAGAUGAGAGUGGCAAUGGGCUUCCCAAAACCAAAGAGGCAGCCCCUGCAGUUGGAGAGGAGGAUGAUGACUACCAGGCGUACUAUCUGAAUGCCCAGGAUGGGGCUGGGGGCGAGGAAGAGAAGGCCGAGGGCGGGGCUGGGGAGGAGCACGACCUGUUUGCUGGGCUGAAGCCACUGGAACAGGAGAGUCGCAUGGAGGUACUGUUUGCCUGUGCUGAGGCCCUGCAUGCGCAUGGCUAUAGCAGUGAGGCCUCCCGUCUCACUGUGGAGCUUGCCCAGGAUCUGCUAGCCAACCCACCCGACCUCAAGGUAGAGCCGCCCCCUGCCAAGGGCAAGAAGAACAAGGUAUCCACGAGCCGUCAGACCUGGGUGGCUACCAACACCCUGAGCAAGGCGGCCUUCCUGUUGACAGUGCUAAGUGAGCGUCCAGAGCACCACAACCUGGCCUUCCGAGUUGGCAUGUUUGCCUUGGAGCUACAGAGGCCUCCAGCUUCUACCAAGGCCUUGGAGGUAAAGCUGGCAUACCAGGAGUCUGAGGUGGCUGCCCUGCUCAAGAAGAUCCCUCUGGGUCCAAGCGAGAUGAGUACCAUGCGGUGCCGGGCAGAGGAACUUCGGGAGGGGACACUCUGUGACUAUCGGCCUGUGUUGCCUCUCAUGCUGGCCAGUUUCAUCUUUGACGUUCUCUGUGCUCCAGGUUCCCGGCCCCCAAGUCGCAACUGGAACAGCGAGACACCUGGGGAUGAGGAGCUGGGAUUUGAAGCAGCAGUUGCUGCCUUGGGUGAGUCUUGAGCAUAUCAGCGAGCUAAGCCUGGUUCAGGUCUUGAAGGACAUGAGACCUGUGCCUUGUUCUGAAGGGCUGUAUGGUAAUGGGAAGGUCAGGAUGACACGUGUGAGCCAACUAGUGCCUGUAAGACAGGAAUUCAGGGCAAAAAUGUGUGCUAUAUGGCUGGGCGUGGUGGCCCAUGCUUGUAAUCGCAGCGCUUUGGGAGGCUGAAGCAGGAGGAUUGUUUGAGCUCAGGAGUUCAUGACCAGCCUGGGCAACCUAGCAAGACCUCAUCUCUACUAAAAAAAAAAA